ensembl:snRNA U6 U6 spliceosomal RNA
GUGCUCGCUUCGGCAGCACAUAUACUAAAAUUGGAACGAUACAGAGAAGAUUAGCAUGGCCCCUGCGCAAAAAAGCAAGUUGCCAUGUCCGGGACUCUGAACCAUGGU